AAAUGACUCUCGGCAACGGAUAUCUCGGCUCUCGCAUCGAUGAAGAACGUAGCGAAAUGCGAUACUUGGUGUGAAUUGCAGAAUCCCGCGAACCAUCGAGUCUUUGAACGCAAGUUGCGCCCGAAGCCUUCGGGCCGAGGGCACGUCUGCCUGGGUGUCACGCACAGUCGCCCCUGCCGCACCGUCUCCUCGGUGAAGGGUUGGGGCCGGAUGUUGGUCUCCCGCGAGCCGCGACUCGCGGAUGGCUUAAAAUCGGAGUCCGUGACGCCGGACAUCGCGUCGCAUGGUGGGUGAGGAAAUCUCGAGACCCGUCGCGGGUGUCGUCACGGUUCGGCACAACCUCGGAGCGCUGUUGGCAGCGCCUUUCGACGCGACCCCAGGUCGGGCGGGACUACCCGCUGAGUUUAAGCAUAUCAAUAAGCGGAGGAAAAGAAACUUACGAGGAUUCCCUUAGUAACGGCGAGCGAACCGGGAAGAGCCC
rnacentral:rRNA from 2 species